rnacentral:lncRNA from 1 species
CCUGAAUGUUCGGAAUGUGAGAGUUAUAAUAUUUAGUGAGCGGUUAUCUCAUUAACUGCUGUUAAAGCUGAGUAAUGGGCCAUCUGUGGGCGACUAUUGCGCUCCACAUUCGUAUGUGAUUAAUGCUCAUAUCAAGUAAUUGUCGUCGAUAGAUAGUCGGUAUGGUCUGAGGAAAUAGUCGGAUAGAUACCGAAUAUUAUCACCUAAUCAUAAGUUGCAUGUCGAAUCAAGUCGGUUAGCUACCAACUUAGUUAGGUCUAUUGCUUUCAGUCGGUGGUCA